GACGAACGCUGGCGGCGUGCUUAACACAUGCAAGUCGAACGGCAAGGCCUGCUUUCCCUUGUGGUUUGCGGGUACUCGAGUGGCCAACGGGGGAGUAACACGGGAGUUAUCUGCCCCCAACUUGGGUAUAAGCCUGGGAAACGGGGUCUAAUUCCCGAUAGUACUGCAGGGUGGUGCCUGUGGUGGAAAACGAUUUUCUAGUGGUAGGGGAUGAGCUCGCGGCCUAUCAGCUUGUUGGAGGGGUAAUGGCCUACCAAGGCGGGGAGGGGUAGCCGGCCUGAGAGCGGCGACGGCCAAAUUGGGACUGGGUUACGGCCCAGACUCCUACGGGCGGCAGCAGUGGGGGAUAAUGGACAAUGGGCGGAAGCCUGAUGCAGCGACGCCGCGAGGGGGGUGUCGGGCUUCGGGAUGUAAACUCCUUGCGAACGAGAGGAAGCCACCUGGUUGGAAGGGUGGUGACGGUAGUGGUAGAAGAAGCACCGGCUAACUACGUG
rnacentral:rRNA from 1 species